rnacentral:rRNA from 1 species
UACGUAGGGUGCGAGCGUUGUCCGGAAUUAUUGGGCGUAAAGGGCUCGUAGGCGGUUCGUCGCGUCGGGAGUGAAAUUCCACGGCUUAACCGUGGGCGUGCUUUCGAUACGGGCGGACUGGAGGUAGGCAGGGGAGAACGGAAUUCCUGGUGUAGCGGUGGAAUGCGCAGAUAUCAGGAGGAACACCGGUGGCGAAGGCGGUUCUCUGGGCCUUACCUGACGCUGAGGAGCGAAAGCGUGGGGAGCGAACAGGAUUAGAUACCCUGGUAGUCCACGCCGUAAACGUUGGGCGCUAGGUGUGGGAGGCAUUCAUACGUCUUCCGUGCCGCAGCUAACGCAUUAAGCGCCCCGCCUGGGGAGUACGGCCGCAAGGCUAAA